GUGCUCGUUUCCGCAGCACAUAGAAUAAAAUUGGAACGAUACAGAAAAGAUUGGCCUGGCCCCUGCGCAAUGAUGACAUGCAUAUUUGUUGGGUGUUUCAGAUUUAA